rnacentral:lncRNA from 1 species
CCCUCCUUAAGUUCUAGUUCAUUCGGCUCUCGCAGUGUACCUGGAUCUGAUCAUCAACCAAUAGAAGUUGAUAGCAUUCUAAAAGUAAGUCAUUUUAUUUUUUCAUUUUGCAUAUGUAAUCGAUUUUUGAAAAAAAUUUACCUUGACUUAUGACACCUGAUAAAUAAAAAGUCAGUCGGCCAUUUGACUCAUUAAUCUUUAAGCAAGGUGCUAUCUAUAACCAGGGCCGGAUUUACGUUUUUGGCGCCCUGUGCAGAAAUUUUCGAGGCGCCCCCCUCGCACCCCCCCCCUCGCCCGCGCAUUUCCCAACCCGACGGUCUUCUUUGGUUACUACGUGCUAACUCUAAAUAAAUACGAAUUUUUUUGAGUGAGUGAAUGAUUCUGGGGCAGAAACCAAAACCAGGUACCCGUGCCUGUUACUGUUAACUACGAAACUAAGAGAAAGUUUGACCCUUAAAGUCCAGGGUCAGGUCAUUUAAGAUGGAACGCAAUAAAUUAAUGGUUCCCUGAUGAAAUUUUGCAGAGUUCGGAGAAAAAAAACCCCAAAAUUUGGCGCCCCUCAAAAUCUGGCGCCCUUUGCAGCUGCACCGAUGCACCAUAGGUAAAUCCGGCCCUGUCUAUAACUGUUGAUGUUCUGUUUGAAUAACACUCAGUUGCAACCAGAAAUCACACUCAAAACAGUUUAAAAGGCCCAAUAACGGCUCCCUGAAACGGAAGGAAGAGAAUUUAAAUUAUAUCUAUCUAUUUAUCUAUAUUAUCCAUCUAUCUAUCUAUCUAUCUCAAACUAAAAGAUUGCGUAGAGAUUGUCAAUUUUUUUUAAUGUUCGUAAUCAAUUUGCGAUUUUUUCUUUGUACAGGAAAUGGCGGAUGAAAGAAUUAAUGCUCCUCUUACAGCCAUAGCGGCAAACUCCACGUAUUGAGACUGACAAUUCUAAAUUUGUGUUCAAUCCUGCAUUAGGCAAGAUGGAAUCAACAGUGCCUCUUUCAGACCUAAGAUCCCGCCGAACGGUGGACAGCAUUCUGGGACCCAGCGGUCGGAUUUCGGCCUUGCAGCCUCCCCCGGCUUUGAAACCCUCCGCACCAGCUCCAACGUUCGGUGGGUUAAGCCUGGUGAGCGACCUGGUCCUGUCGGAGGACAGCGACGACGACGAGAAGAAAGCGCCGCCGAUCCUGUCGCCGCCGUCGCCGGCUUCGCCGCCGACGCUCAACAUCUCCUCGCCGCCCCUCCCGCCCUCCGUGACGCCCCUCGGGCCCCUGGCCUCCCCCGGGCCCCUCGCGUCCCCCGCCUCCCCGGCACUCAAGCCCUUCCCGCCCUCCCCGGAGCCCGCCCAACUCAAGCCAUUCCCGCCCUCCCCCGUGGCGAGGCCCACCCCCUCGCCUACCCCGCAGCCUAAGCAAUCAGCGCCGAAACUGUCUCCAGCACUGAUAAACCUGACCUCGUCCAGUGACGAAGAGGAAGGAGAUGAUUCAGCCAGUGAUAGCGAUUCGGAGACGGAGGACUCGAGUAGCGACGCGGUGCCUCAGCCAGCAGCGCCACCCCCUCAAGAAGAGUCCAAGGGAAGAUGGAAUCUCAAGAACUUCCUCCGGACUCCCGCUGCAGACAGCCCUGUUAACAAAAACCAGGAGUCACCAACUGAGAGCAAAAAGGUGGAGGAUGACUCGGAGUUGGAGCAUUUGACGGAAGAGCUCAAGAAGCCUCCGAUAAUAUCCGACCUCUCUGACUCGGACGUCAACGAGAAGAAGAAGCGUUUCACCAAGAGCCAGAAGCAAAAACACCGGCCCUCAAUAACGGCUCCAGCUGUUGACGUCUCGAGCGAUGAGUACUCACCUCCCGUGCGACGCACCCCAAAACAAUCCGCUGCAAUUCGGAAAGCGCCGCCGACACCGUCAUCUCCACCAUCUGAUAUCGACUCUGACCAUAGUACAAAGUUCAAUAACUCAGAGUCCGUUAAAAAAGGUGGUGGGAAGAAGCGCCAGGUGAGUGUGACCAGUCAGUCAGAGGAGGAGCCGGAGAAAAUCAAACCGGUCCGUAAGUCGAAGAGGAGCAGCUACAGCACGGAUAGUAGUCGGCACGGGUCUGUGUCACCUGUGAAGAAGAGUCGAUCCAGCAAAGCUAAGUCUCCCGUCGCUGUGAAAGAAAAGAAAAGUAAAAAGAAUACUGUGUUAGCAGCCAGGGAGAAAGUUGCACCUUACUCAGGCAAGGUUGCCAAAAAGCAGCCGGCCAAGGUUGUCGUUACCUCAGAAUCUGAAGAAGAGCAGGAAAUCAAAGUGGAGCGCAAAAAGCGGGGACGCCCACGACUCAAACGGCCUAAAACACCCAAUGACUCUGACGACUUGUACGAGUCACAGAAGAAGUUGCAGAAAAAGGAAAGUCUCUGGAGCGAGUCAAGCGGAAUGAGUCAACAGACAAGCGGACUCUGAAAAGGCGGAAAAAGCCUGUUCAACGCCGGUCGAAAUCAAUUUCCUGUAAGUCCUCCGACAGUGAUGACAUCAUGAGUCCUCGUUCCUCUUCGCCCAUCAAACCUGCAUCACGUGCCAUGCCAAUGCCAGCCAUCUUCCGGCGAUCGCCGUCCCGCGAUUCGAGCUGCGACUCAAAGGCGGACUCGGAUACCAGCCCGCCGAGCGUCAACCACAAGGUCGAGGAAAGUCCACCCAAGCUCGGAGACGAAGGAAUAGCCAAAGACAAGAAGAAAAACGACACGUUGAGGAAAUUGUUCACCAUGGGCGGUGGAAAGGGUAAGGGCAAAGGGGGUGGCGGGAAAGGUGGCGGUAAAGGCAAAGGGGGCGUCAUUGUUGACUAUAUGGAUAGCGAUGAUCGUGUGAAACCCCCUCCGACCGGGAAACCAGUCCACCAAACGAACGGAUUCCAGCCCCUUGCGAUAUUAAAAUUGAGGAGCCCAGAAGUCCACCGCUGAUAUAUA